rnacentral:rRNA from 1 species
GACGAACGCUGGCGGCAUGCUUAACACAUGCAAGUCGAACGGUAACAGGCCCUUCGGGGUGCUGACGAGUGGCGGACGGGUGAGUAAUACUUAGGAAUCUGCCUAGUAGUGGGGGAUAACCCGGGGAAACCCGGGCUAAUACCGCAUACGCCCUACGGGGGAAAGGACGGGGACCGUUCGGGCCGUCGCGCUAUUAGAUGAGCCUAAG